UACGAAGGGGGCUAGCGUUGCUCGGAAUCACUGGGCGUAAAGGGUGCGUAGGCGGCGCGGUAAGUCGGGUGUGAAAUCUCGGAGCUUAACUCCGAAACUGCAUUCGAUACUGCCGUGCUUGAGGACUGGAGAGGAGACUGGAAUUUACGGUGUAGCGGUGAAAUGCGUAGAUAUCGUAAGGAAGACCAGUGGCGAAGGCGGGUCUCUGGACAGUUCCUGACGCUGAGGCACGGAAGGUCAGGGGAGCAAAACGGG
rnacentral:rRNA from 1 species